AUCCCAGAUAAGCUUAACGUUUUCGUAAGUGCUUACGCUGAUUCAUGGGAGGCCAAAAUUAAAUUAUGGAAGUUUCGCUGAUAAAUGCCAAUCUCUGAUUGUUAUGUCAAGGCGUUUACUAGUAACUUCACCAUACACUU